rnacentral:rRNA from 1 species
CCUACGGGUGGCAGCAGUGAGGAAUAUUGGUCAAUGGACGAGAGCCUGAACCAGCAAAGCCGCGUGAAGGAAGACUGCCCUAUGGGUUUUAAACUUUUUUUAUAAGGGAAUAAAACGAGGCACGUGUGCCGUUUUGCAUGUACUUUAUGAAUAAGGAUCGGCUAACUCCGUGCCAGAAGCCGCGGUAAUACGGAGGAUCCGAGCGUUAUCCGGAUUUAGUGGGUGUAAAGGGAGCGUAGAUGGGUAGUUAAGUCAGUUGUGAAAGUAUGUGGCUCAACCGUAAGAUUGCAUUUGAUACUGGCAGUCUUGAGUACAGUUGAGGUAGGCGGAAUUCGUGGUGUAGCGGUGAAAUGCGUAGAUAUCACGAAGAACCCCGGUGGCGAAGGCAGCUUACUAAACUGUGACUGACAUUGAGGCUCGAAAGCGUGGGUAGCAAACAGGAUUAGAUACCCGAGUAGUC